rnacentral:rRNA from 1 species
UACGGUAGGGUGCAAGCGUUGUCCGGAAUUAUUGGGCGUAAAGAGCUCGUAGGCGGUUUGUCGCGUCGGCUGUGAAAGCCCGGAGCUCAACUCCGGGUCUGCAGUCGAUACGGGCAGACUUGAGUGUUGGCAGGGGAGACUGGAAUUCCUGGUGUAGCGGUGAAAUGCGCAGAUAUCAGGAGGAACACCGGUGGCGAAGGCGGGUCUCUGGGCAACAACUGACGCUGAGGAGCGAAAGCGUGGGGAGCGAACAGG